rnacentral:rRNA from 1 species
UACGUAGGUGGCAAGCGUUGUCCGGAUUUACUGGGCGUAAAGAGCGCGCAGGCGGUCGUUCAAGUCGCGUGUGAAAGCCCCCGGCUCAACUGGGGAGGGUCACGCGAUACUGAUCGACUCGAAGGCAGGAGAGGGUAGUGGAAUUCCCGGUGUAGUGGUGAAAUGCGUAGAUAUCGGAGGAACACCAGUGGCGAAGGCGACUACCUGGCCUGUUCUUGACGCUGAGGCGCGAAAGCUAGGGA